ensembl:lncRNA
GGCCUUUGUGCCAGUGCUGAAGCCCUGUAGGACAUAGUCCCCAGUCUGUUCCUUGGGCCCUCCAGCUCAAUCGCUUGCCUGAGGCUAAGUAAACUGGAGGACCUCCAGAAGAAGACCUGAACCCGCCUCUUACCGCACUCUCCACCUGAUGACCACCACAACACUGACCCUUGACUGAAGCACUUCCCCAGGUCCCUCAUUGACACUUACCAGUGAGCAGGACCCACUGUGGCACUGACCAAUAGCUGAACAGGGCAACUAAUGGUCACUCAUUGACAGUUGGUUGCUUGUGGGAAGGGCCCACUGAAGCACCAACCAAUGGCUGAGCAAGACCGUUGCCUAGGAACAGGGUGCACAGUAAGGACGCACAGCAAUGGCUACCUGUUAAGGGCUGUGCUUAUCCUGCUCUAUUACACUACCACUGGCUGCGGUCCAGUCACAUGGCCCUCCCUCUAAGAAGCUUUGUGUCCCAGGCAUGGGUAUAUCUAUGCCUCCUAAUAGACUCCAGAAAUCCUGGUAACGAGCAGAUUGGUUAGAAGUAGAGGAGCCAGAUUUCCUUCCUCGCCUGCCCCGACUGGCUGAACUUCUGAGGGGCCUUACCAGCCUUUCUUUACAAGGCAGAACGAUGGCUACAGGACUAAUAAGCACUUUCAGAUGAGUGUCUAGUAACUUCUCUACCAUCAGCUCUCAUUUAUCACAGCCAGAUCACUUGACUUUCAAAUUAUCUCCUAAAGUCUCCCUUUUGAAUAUUUAUUGACAUGUAAACAACUCUUCUUAAUUAAGUACUUUAUUGGAAUGAACAAGGUCUUUGUUUACUCUAGUCCAGCAGAAGCAUGAAGAGUCAAAAACAACACCAUUCCUCUCUGCAAAAGAUGUUGAGAUGUGCUUCAGAUGGGUUCCUCAUUCACCGAGCUGGCACUGAGUAGCAUCUAGGACCAUUGGGUGUGCUCCUGGAUUCUAGGCACAUGAAAAAAUACCUUUGCUGACCUUAGGAAUCCAGAAUCUCCUAGAGGAGAUAGACAUGCAAACAGUUACAUAAGAAAUGUAUCUCAUGGAAGGCUCAGUGGAGAACAGGAGGAGAAUCUGUAUCAGCCUCAAUAGAAUCAGUGAUGGGACAGAGAUGGUGCAUGAGCUGGGCCUUGAGGCAAGGUUUGAGUGGCUGCAAGACUGGGGGAAUGCCUUGUGUUGUGGCACUGUAGUGUAACAGAGGAAAGAUCACUCCUUUGUUUGUAAUGUAAGCUUUCUGAAUGGCACUGUAGUGUUUUUACUGCAGAGGACAGGUUACAGAAGCUCUCUGUCUAUGGCGGUUUCACUCUUGAAUGUAACAUGUAAAUCUUUAGAAUAUAAGAGGCUCUUGCUUUCAUACUUUGACAUUAAAUAAAUCAAAAUAAUUUAAUUAUUUCUAUGUUUUUUAUUUUAAGUAUUUUAAGCUGCUAAUAGGUUGCCUGCAUUCACUGUUGUACCUUAUUGGCCUCCAUUUGAACUGUUAUGCGGUGCAAUUCUUAUUUCAGUAGCGAAGCAUAUAUGUUUUUACUGUGGUUGUCAUCUGAGCAACCAUGAAAAUGGAUUACAUUUUUACAUACAUUGUCUCAUUAAAUAAUAUAUACUAAUGGUUAAUUUUAGUUAUCAUUAUUUAAAAAUCUCUGUAGUCCCUCUGUCAGCAAAAGAAAAAUAUUAAAAAUUUAGCUAUUUUUCUAGAAACAGAGUCACAUACAUAGAGAAUAGACUUGUGGUUGCCAAGGAGGAAGGGAGGUUGAGGAGGGAAGAAUUGGGAAUUUGAGAUUAGCAGAGGCAAACUAUUAUAUAUAGGAUGAAUAAACAGCAAGGCUCAACAUAUAGAAUGGGAAGGUGUAUUCAGUAUCUUGUGACAAACCAAAAUGGAAAGGAAUGUGAAAAGAAUAUCUAUCCAUCUAUAACUGAAUAACUUCGCUGUACAACAGAAAUUAACAGGACAUUGUAAGUCAAUUAUACUUACAUAAUUUUUUUUUUAAAUUUGUGG